rnacentral:rRNA from 1 species
GAAGGGGGCUAGCGUUGUUCGGAAUUACUGGGCGUAAAGCGCGCGCAGGCGGUCUUCCAAGUCAAUGGUGAAAGCCCGGAGCUCAACUCCGGAACUGCCAUUGAAACUGUUAGACUUGAGGAUGAGAGAGGUGAGUGGAAUUCCCAGUGUAGAGGUGAAAUUCGUAGAUAUUGGGAAGAACACCGGUGGCGAAGGCGGCUCACUGGCUCAUUACUGACGCUCAGGCGCGAUAGCGUGGGAUCAAACAGGAUUAGAUACCCUGGUAGUCCACGCCGUAAACGAUGAAUGCUAGCCGUUGGGCAGCUUGCUGUUCAGUGGCGCAGCUAACGCAUUAAGCAUUCCGCCUGGGGAGUACGGCCGCAAGGUUG